rnacentral:rRNA from 1 species
UUUAUGGAGAGUUUGAUCCUGGCUCAGGAUGAACGCUGGCGGCGUGCCUAAUACAUGCAAGUCGAGCGAACGGACGAGAAGCUUGCUUCUCUGAUGUUAGCGGCGGACGGGUGAGUAACACGUGGAUAACCUACCUAUAAGACUGGGAUAACUUCGGGAAACCGGAGCUAAUACCGGAUAAUAUUUUGAACCGCAUGGUUCAAAAGUGAAAGACGGUCUUGCUGUCACUUAUAGAUGGAUCCGCGCUGCAUUAGCUAGUUGGUAAGGUAACGGCUUACCAAGGCAACGAUGCAUAGCCGACCUGAGAGGGUGAUCGGCCACACUGGAACUGAGACACGGUCCAGACUCCUACGGGAGGCAGCAGUAGGGAAUCUUCCGCAAUGGGCGAAAGCCUGACGGAGCAACGCCGCGUGAGUGAUGAAGGUCUUCGGAUCGUAAAACUCUGUUAUUAGGGAAGAACAUAUGUGUAAGUAACUGUGCACAUCUUGACGGUACCUAAUCAGAAAGCCACGGCUAACUACGUGCCAGCAGCCGCGGUAAUACGUAGGUGGCAAGCGUUAUCCGGAAUUAUUGGGCGUAAAGCGCGCGUAGGCGGUUUUUUAAGUCUGAUGUGAAAGCCCACGGCUCAACCGUGGAGGGUCAUUGGAAACUGGAAAACUUGAGUGCAGAAGAGGAAAGUGGAAUUCCAUGUGUAGCGGUGAAAUGCGCAGAGAUAUGGAGGAACACCAGUGGCGAAGGCGACUUUCUGGUCUGUAACUGACGCUGAUGUGCGAAAGCGUGGGGAUCAAACAGGAUUAGAUACCCUGGUAGUCCACGCCGUAAACGAUGAGUGCUAAGUGUUAGGGGGUUUCCGCCCCUUAGUGCUGCAGCUAACGCAUUAAGCACUCCGCCUGGGGAGUACGACCGCAAGGUUGAAACUCAAAGGAAUUGACGGGGACCCGCACAAGCGGUGGAGCAUGUGGUUUAAUUCGAAGCAACGCGAAGAACCUUACCAAAUCUUGACAUCCUUUGACAACUCUAGAGAUAGAGCCUUCCCCUUCGGGGGACAAAGUGACAGGUGGUGCAUGGUUGUCGUCAGCUCGUGUCGUGAGAUGUUGGGUUAAGUCCCGCAACGAGCGCAACCCUUAAGCUUAGUUGCCAUCAUUAAGUUGGGCACUCUAAGUUGACUGCCGGUGACAAACCGGAGGAAGGUGGGGAUGACGUCAAAUCAUCAUGCCCCUUAUGAUUUGGGCUACACACGUGCUACAAUGGACAAUACAAAGGGCAGCGAAACCGCGAGGUCAAGCAAAUCCCAUAAAGUUGUUCUCAGUUCGGAUUGUAGUCUGCAACUCGACUACAUGAAGCUGGAAUCGCUAGUAAUCGUAGAUCAGCAUGCUACGGUGAAUAUGUUCCCGGGUCUUGUACACACCGCCCGUCACACCACGAGAGUUUAUAACACCCGAAGCCGGUGGAGUAACCUUUUAGGAGCUAGCCGUCGAAGGUGGGACAAAUGAUUGGGGUGAAGUCGUAACAAGGUAGCCGUAUCGGAAGGUGCGGCUGGAUCACCUCCUUUCU